rnacentral:rRNA from 1 species
AUUGAACGCUGGCGGCAGGCCUAACACAUGCAAGUCGAGCGGAUGAAGGGAGCUUGCUCCUGGAUUCAGCGGCGGACGGGUGAGUAAUGCCUAGGAAUCUGCCUUGUAUUGGGGGAUAACGUCCGUAAACGGGCGCUAAUACCGCAUACGUCCUGAUGGAGAAAGUGGGGGAUCUUCGGACCUCACGCUAUCAGAUGAGCCUAGGUCGGAUUAGCUAGUUGGUGGGGUAAAGGCCUACCAAGCCGACGAUCCGUAACUGGUCUGAGAGGAUGAUCGGUCACACUGGAACUGGGACACGGUCCAGACUCCUACGGGAGGCAGCAGUGGGGAAUAUUGGACAAUGGGCGAAAGCCUGAUCCAGCCAUGCCGCGUGUGUGAAGAAGGUCUUCGGAUUGUAAAGCACGUUAAGUGGGGAGGAAGGGCAGUAAGUUAAUACGUUGCUGUUUUGACGUUACCAACAGAAUAAGCACCGGCUAACUUCGUG